rnacentral:rRNA from 1 species
UAAAGUCUGGCCUGCCCACUGACAUACGUUAAAGGGCCGCGGUAUUUUGACCGUGCGAAGGUAGCAUAAUCAUUAGUCUUUUAAUUGGAGGCUUGUAUGAAUGGUUGGACAAAAAAUAAGCUGUCUCUGUUUUAUUUCUUGAAUUUAACUUUUAAGUGAAAAGGCUUAAAUGUUCUAGGG